CAUCUCGGAAGGCUGCUAUGGGCUCUCGAUCUUCAGAAUAGGUACCAUGACACAGAAGAAGAUCCCUACCCUCCCUCCACUUGGGAGAAGAACUGAGGAGGAAGGGGACUGCUCUCUUACCUCGACAAGAUUGAGACCCAGAAAGAAAAUGAAAUAGUUUACCAGAGAAACCUGGGUACAAAUUCUGACUCUACCCCGUACUAGAGAUUUGGCCUCGGACAAGUUGUUUAGCCUCUCCAGGACUCUGCGGCUUCAAUUAUGAAAAGGAGGCGAAGUUAACUAAAGAAAACUGACAUUGGCUGAUGGUGCAUACCUCUGUGCAGCCUGAUGUAGAGGUACACUCUAACUGUGCCUCCAUGGCAACCAGUGGGAGGAGCCGAGAAAAGCACAUGGGAAAAAGAGCCAACUACCUAGUGGAACUUAAAGAACAUGGUACUCAGAGGGACGAGGUUGAUGGAGGGAAGACAUAAGAACAUUCCAUGGGUCACUGUG